UACGUAGGGACCGAGCGUUGUCCGGAAUCAUUGGGCGUAAAGAGCGUGUAGGCGGCCUUUUAAGUCCUGCGUGAAAUCCUGCGGCUCAACCGCAGACGGUCGUGGGAAACUGGAAGGCUAGAGUGCGGGAGAGGAGAGUGGAAUUCCCGGUGUAGCGGUGAAAUGCGCAGAUAUCGGGAGGAACACCAGUGGCGAAGGCGGCACUCUGGGCCGGUACUGACGCUGAGACACGAAAGCCAGGGGAGCGAACGGG
rnacentral:rRNA from 1 species